rnacentral:rRNA from 1 species
GAUGAACGCUAGCGGCAGGCUUAAUACAUGCAAGUUGAGGGGCAGCAUGAUAUACGCGAGUAUAUUGAUGGCGACCGGCGGACGGGUGAGUAAUAGGUAGGAGACCUACCUCAUACAGGGGGAUAGCAUAGAGAAAUCUGUGGUAAUACCCCAUGAGGUUAUAUGAAUAGAGGCAUAUAAUCAAAGCAUAAGCGAUUAUGCGGUAUGAGAGGGGCCUACUGACCAUUAGCUAGUUGGUGAGGUAAGGGCUCACCAAGGCGAAGAUGGUUAGGGGUUUUGAGAGAGAGACCCCCCACAUUGGAACUGAGAGACGGUCCAGACUCCUACGGGAGGCAGCAGUAGGGAAUAUUGGGCAAUGGGCGAAAGCCUGACCCAGCCAUGCCGCGUGAAGGAAGACGGCCUUAUGGGUUGUAAACUUCUUUACUACGCGAAUAGAGGUUAGUACGAGAUACUAAUAGGAAGUAGUGUAGUAAAAGCAACCGGCUAACUCCGUAGCC